rnacentral:rRNA from 1 species
UGGGGAAUAUUGCACAAUGGGCGCAAGCCUGAUGCAGCCACGCCGCGUGUGUGAAGAAGGCCUUCGGGUUGUAAAGCACUUUCAGCGGGGAGGAAGGCGAUAAGGUUAAUAACCUCAUCGAUUGACGUUACCCGCAGAAGAAGCACCGGCUAACUCCGUGCCAGCAGCCGCGGUAAUACGGAGGGUGCAAGCGUUAAUCGGAAUUACUGGGCGUAAAGCGCACGCAGGCGGUCUGUCAAGUCGGAUGUGAAAUCCCCGGGCUUAACCCGGGAAUUGCAUCUGAUACUGGUCAGCUAGAGUCUUGUAGAGGGGGGUAGAAUUCCAUGUGUAGCGGUGAAAUGCGUAGAGAUGUGGAGGAAUACCGGUGGCGAAGGCGGCCCCCUGGACAAAGACUGACGCUCAGGUGCGAAAGCGUGGGGAGCAAACAGG